rnacentral:rRNA from 1 species
AUAUUAAUAAGCGGAGGAAAAGAAACUAACUAGGAUUCCCUCAGUAACGGCGAGUGAAGCGGGAAGAGCUCAAAUUUUAAAGCUUCGUGGUUUCCACGACGCGUUGUAAAUUCAAGAAACGUUUUCUCAUGUAGCUCCGGUUUAAGUCUGUUGGAAAGCAGCAUCAUAGAGGGUGAGAAUCCCGUCUGUGACUGGGUGUCUACAUGUCUACGAUACGUUUUCAAAGAGUCAGGUUGUUUGGGAAUGCAGCCUAAAAUGGGUGGUAAAUUUCAUCUAAAGCUAAAUAUUGCCACGAGACCGAUAGCGCACAAGUA